rnacentral:tRNA from 5 species
GGGGCCAUAGCUCAGCUGGGAGAGCGCUACGCUGGCAGCGUAGAGGUCGUCGGUUCGAUCCCGUCUGGCUCCACCA